rnacentral:rRNA from 1 species
GACGAACGCUGGCGGCGUGCUUAACACAUGCAAGUCGAACGGAAAGGCCCUGCUUUUGUGGGGUGCUCGAGUGGCGAACGGGUGAGUAACACGUGAGUAACCUGCCCUUGACUUUGGGAUAACUUCAGGAAACUGGGGCUAAUACCGGAUAGGAGCUCCUGCUGCAUGGUGGGGGUUGGAAAGUUUCGGCGGUUGGGGAUGGACUCGCGGCUUAUCAGCUUGUUGGUGGGGUAGUGGCUUACCAAGGCUUUGACGGGUAGCCGGCCUGAGAGGGUGACCGGCCACAUUGGGACUGGGAUACGGCCCAGACGCUUACGGGAGGCAGCAGUGGGGAAUAUUGCACAAUGGGCGGAAGCCUGAUGCAGCAACGCCGCGUGCGGGAUGACGGCCUUCGGGUUGUAAACCGCUUUCGCCUGUGACGAAGCGUGAGUGACGGUAAUGGGUAAAGAAGCACCGGCUAACUACGU